rnacentral:ribozyme from 1 species
GAAAGAAGAAGAAGAAGUAGAAGAAGUCAGUACUUUGUUCACAGAAUUGUAGGGAUGGGGUUUCUCAUCUCUCUCUCUCUCUCUCUCUCUUUUUCUUCUAUUCCUCUUUUGCUCUGCUCGUUUGU